GAUGAAGAACGUAGCGAAUCGCGAUAUGUAGUGUGAUCUGCCUCUAGAGAAUCAUCAAAUCUUUGAACGCAUCUUGCACCCUUUGGUAUUCCAAAGGGUACGCCUGUUUCAGUAUCAUUAUAACCUUUCUCCCCAAGGCUUUUUGGCCAAGGAGGGAAAGAGCAUAACCGGUGGCCCAGCGGUCUCCCUUCAGGGGGAUUGUCUCGGCUGGAAUGACUGUUGCAAUGGUGGGCCAAAUGGUCUUCCGCACUUGAUAAAUGUACUUUUAUAAAGAGCGGGACCGGUCUGCCGAAAGUUGUAACUAAACCCUUUACCUUUGAUCUGAAAUCAGGCGGGAUUACCCGCUGAACUUAAGCAUAUCAAUAAGCGGAGGA
rnacentral:misc_RNA from 1 species